UUGUUAGUGAGGUUAUUUCUAAUCUGUUCCUCCUUAUGGGGGAAAGAGACAUGAUGAAUGGAGGGGGCUGAGUGUGUGAUUACAUCAAUCUCCUGCAAAUCCCUGAAUGACAACUCAGGGUGUGUGACAUUCUGAC